ensembl:snoRNA U8 U8 small nucleolar RNA
UUAUCAGGUAGGAUAUUUCUUACCUGUUCCUCUAUUCAGAGGGCAGGUGGAACAUGACGAUUGGAGUUCGCAUGAUUCAUGAUUAAUGUCUCUGCAUGAUUAAAGCUUGAAACACCUUAAUCACUCCUGUUUCGAA